CCAGCGAGAGGUUCCCCACUCUUCUUUGAUCCGUCUGAGGGCCGAGUGGCAGCCUCGACCCGAGCGGAAGUGCGAUGUGUCUGGAAACUCGGGAUCGUCUGUGCUGAACUUCAAAAACCGACGCUAUCGGGGCUUGUUGAGACCAUAGAUCGCUUUGCGUAA
rnacentral:rRNA from 1 species